AUCGCUCCACUCCGCUCAUAUCUUCUGCUGUGUGGGUUUAUCUUAAAGGUUCUACACAGUCUACUCAAACGGAGCCGAGAGAGGUCUGUUUGUGUCGAGUUCCAAAAAUUCAGCCUCACAAAUGUUAGUAGAACUACGUAAAGAGAUGGAAACAGACCUCCAUAGUCUCUGUAGAGUAGACUGUGUAGACCCUUUACAGAAGUAUGGAUGCUGCAUGCCUCAGGUAGACAGACAGGUGUGUAUCUUACAGAAGUAUGGAUGCUGCAUGGCCUCAGGUAGACAGACAGGUGUGUAUCUUACAGAAGUAUGGAUGCUGCAUGGCCUCAGGUAGACAGACAACAGGUGUGUAUCUUACAGAAGUAUGGAUGCUGCAUGGCCUCAGGUAGAUAGACAGACAGGUGUGUAUCUUAACAGAAGUAUGGAUGCUGCAUGGCCUCAGGUAGACAGACAGACAGACAGGUGUAUAUCUUACAGAAGUAUGGAUGCUGCAUGGCCUCAGGUAGAGACAGACAGGUGUGUAUCUUACAGAAGUAUGGAUGCUGCAUGGCCUCAGGUAGACAGACAGACAGGUGUGUAUCUUACAGAAGUAUGGAUGCUGCAUGGCUCAGGUAGACAGACAGACAGACAGACAGGUGUGUACCUUACAGAAGUAUGGAUGCUGCAUGGCCUCAGGUAGACAGACAGACAGACAGACAGGUGUGUAUCUUACAGAAGUAUGGAUGCUGCAUGGCCUCAGCAGCGGUUCAGUCUCGUGCUGGUGGUCGUAACGUAGCAGCUUGUUCCAGCAGGUCCAGGGACUCAGGGGUCACCAGGUGCUGGUUCUCUGUCUGGACAAACUGCUCCCAGCGCUUCCUCGUCUGCCUGGGGAGAGGAGGGGGAGGUACUGCUU